CCGUAAACUAUGCCAACUAGCGAUCCGUCGGUGUUAAAUAUUGACUCGACGGGCAGCUUCCGGGAAACCAAAGUUUAUAGGUUCCGGGGGAAGUAUGGUUGCAAAGCUUAAACUUAAAGGAAUUGACGGAAGGGCACCACCAGGAGUGGAGCCUGCGGCUUAAUUUGACUCAACACGGGGAAACUCACCCGGCCAGGACACAAUAAGGAUUGACAGAUUGAUAGCUCUUUCUUGAUUUUGUGGGUGGUGGUGCAUGGCCGUUCUUAGUUGGUGGAGCGAUUUGUCUGGUUAAUUCCGAUAACGAACGAGACUCUAGCCUAUUAAAUAGACGAUAUAUUUUAUUCGUAUAUCGAGCUUCUUAGAGGGACGAGCAGCUUCUAGCUGCACGAGAUUGAGCAAUAACAGGUCUGUGAUGCCCUUAGAUGUCCGGGGCUGCACGCGCGCUACAAUGAAAAUAGCAGCGCGUUUCGAAAACCUUUUCUGGAAAGAAUUGGUAAACGCGAAAUAUUUUCGUGAUAGGGAUAGCGGAUUGCAAUUAUUGCCCUUGAACGAGGAAAUUCCCCAGUAAAUUCGAGUCAUCAGCUCGAGUUG
rnacentral:rRNA from 1 species